rnacentral:tRNA from 1 species
GGAGCUUAUACCUCCGUAAAGCAAUCACCAGAUAAGUGAUGUAACGCGGGUUCGAUUCCCGCCCCAAGUACCA